CCCUUAGAUGUUCUGGGCCGCACGCGCGCUACACUGAUGCAUUCAACGAGUUUACCUUGGCCGAGAGGCCUGGGCAAUCUUUUAAACCUGCAUCGUGAUAGGGAUAGAUUAUUGCAAUUAUUAAUCUUGAACGAGGAAUUCCUAGUAAACGCAAAUCAUCAAUUUGCGUUGAUUACGUCCCUGCCCUUUGUACACACCGCCCGUCGCACCUACCGAUUGAAUGGUCCGGUGAAGCCUCGGGAUUGUGGCCAGUUCACUUUAUUGGGAGUUGGCUGCGAGAACUUGUCUAAACCUUAUCAUUUAGAGGAAGGUGAAGUCGUAACA
rnacentral:rRNA from 1 species